UUGAUGGAACAACCCCCGCGUUUUUGAUGAAGGGUUUCGGCUCGUAAAACACUGUUGUAAGAGAAGAAUGACAUUGAGAGUAACUGUUCAAUGUGUGACGGUAUCUUACCAGAAAGGAACGGCUAAAUACGUGCCAGCAGCCGCGGUAAUACGUAUGUUCCAAGCGUUAUCCGGAUUUAUUGGGCGUAAAGCGAGCGCAGACGGUUAUUUAAGUCUGAAGUGAAAGCCCUCAGCUCAACUGAGGAAUUGCUUUGGAAACUGGAUGACUUGAGUGCAGUAGAGGAAAGUGGAACUCCAUGUGUAGCGGUGAAAUGCGUAGAUAUAUGGAAGAACACCAGUGGCGAAGGCGGCUUUCUGGACUGUAACUGACGUUGAGGCUCGAAAGUGUGGGUAGCAAACAGGAUUAGAUACCCUGGUAGUCCACACCGUAAACGAUGAGUGCUAGGUGUUUGAGGGUUUCCGCCCUUAAGUGCCGCAGCUAACGCAUUAAGCACUCCGCCUGGGGAGUACGACCGCAAGGUUGAAACUCAAAGGAAUUGACGGGGACCCGCACAAGCGGUGGAGCAUGUGGUUUAAUUCGAAGCAACGCGAAGAACCUUACCAGGUCUUGACAUCCCUUGACAACUCCAGAGAUGGAGCGUUCCCUUCGGGGACAAGGUGACAGGUGGUGCAUGGUUGUCGUCAGCUCGUGUCGUGAGAUGUUGGGUUAAGUCCCGCAACGAGCGCAACCCUUAUUACUAGUUGCCAGCAUUUAGUUGGGCACUCUAGUGAGACUGCCGGUGACAAACCGGAGGAAGGUGGGGAUGACGUCAAAUCAUCAUGCCCCUUAUGACCUGGGCUACACACGUGCUACAAUGGCGUAUACAACGAGUUGCCAACCCGCGAGGGUGAGCUAAUCUCUUAAAGUACGUCUCAGUUCGGAUUGUAGGCUGCAACUCGCCUACAUGAAGUCGGAAUCGCUAGUAAUCGCGGAUCAGCACGCCGCGGUGAAUACGUUCCCGGGUCUUGUACACACCGCCCGUCACACCAUGAGAGUUUGUAACACCCAAAGCCGGUGGGGUAACCUUCGGGAGCCAGCCGUCUAAGUGACAGAGAUGGGA
rnacentral:rRNA from 1 species